UGAGCAACCUUCAAGGUACUUCUGGACCAC
rnacentral:piRNA from 1 species